ensembl:lncRNA
AUGGAGGAGCAUGUCUAUGGAGCCUGGGACCAAAGAAUACCAAGCAGAAAGCAGACCCAGGCUGAAGGUUGGGACACCACUUCCCUGCAUGUGGCCAGCAGGACUCCAAGUGUGGCCGAAGAACAACCAAGCAAAGCAGUGCUUUUCAAACCCUGUCACCAGGCUCAGAGAACAAAGAUUGGAGCUGGCUCGGACUAUUUAAAAGACCCAGAGAGAGAGGAAGAUAGAAAAGGACAAAUUAUGGGAAAAGACCCAAUGGUGAAGAGAUACAGAGAAAUCCACAGAGAGAAGAGAAAGAGCAGCUCAGCAGGAAGGCUCUCACCAGAUGCAGCUGCCUGA